rnacentral:lncRNA from 1 species
UAUAUGAUGAGUUGAACUUGUCUAGAUGAUUAUAACUAUUCUUAAUCUCAUUCUUUAAUGGUUAGGCAUUGAUUCAUNCUCAAAAACUUAGAUUUCAACAACUUAAAGACUCACUUUCAUACCUAACACUUAGAAACUGUUUUGGACCAGUUUAGGGACUCUAACAGGUCCCAAUUUACUUACCUAGACCAUCUCAAGUGACCAAUUUAGCUCUCAACCCCAAUUGCCUAUUUUGACUACCUCACUUCCCU